AAUAUUGGACACUGGGGGCAACCUUAAUCACGCCAUGCCGCGUGUGUGAAAAAGCCUUUCGGUUUGUAAACCCCUUCAAGUUGGAAGGAAGGGCUUUAGGCUACUAACCUGAAGUCUUGACAUUACCAUCAGAAAACGCACCGGCUAACUCGGUGCCAGCAGCCGCGGUAAUACAGAGGGUGCAAGCGUUAAUCGGAAUUACUGGGCGUAAAGCGCACGUAGGUGGAUAAGUAAGUUGGGUGUGAAAUCCCCGGGCUUAACCUGAGAACUGCUUUCAAAACUGCAAGUCUAGAGUUCGGUAGAGGGUAGUGGAAUUGCCAGUGUAGCGGUGAAAUGCGUAGAUAUAGGAAGGAACACCAGUGGCGAAGGCGACUACCUGGACUGAUACUGACACUGAGGUGCGAAAGCGUGGGGAGCAAACAG
rnacentral:rRNA from 1 species